rnacentral:misc_RNA from 1 species
GAUGAAGAAUGCAGCGAAAUGCGAUAAGUUAUGUGAAUUGCAGAAUUCAGUGAAUCAUCGAAUCUUUGAACGCACAUUGCGCCCGCCAGUAUUCUGGCGGGCAUGCCUGUCUGAGCGUCAUUUCAACCCUCAUGCCCCUAGGGCGUGGUGUUGGGGAUCGGCCAAAGCCCGCGAGGGACGGCCGGCCCCUAAAUCUAGUGGCGGACCCGUCGUGGCCUCCUCUGCGAAGUAGUGAUAUUCCGCAUCGGAGAGCGAUGAGCCCCUGCCGUUAAACCCCCAACUUUCCAAGGUUGACCUCAGAUCAGGUAGGAAUACCCGCUGAACUUAAGCAUAUCAAUAAGCGGAGGA